GAUGAACGCUGGCGGCGUGCUUAACACAUGCAAGUCGAACGGAGAUAUCAUUUUCGAAGCGAUUAGUUUACUAAGAGUAGAGAUGUUGAUAUCUUAGUGGCGGACGGGUGAGUAACGCGUGGGUAACCUGCCUUACACUGGGGGAUAACACUUAGAAAUAGGUGCUAAUACCGCAUAAUAGGAGAAGACGCAUGUCUUAUCCUUGAAAACUCCGGUGGUGUAAGAUGGACCCGCGUCUGAUUAGCCAGUUGGCGGGGUAACGGCCCACCAAAGCGACGAUCAGUAGCCGGCCUGAGAGGGUGAACGGCCACAUUGGGACUGAGACACGGCCCAA
rnacentral:rRNA from 1 species